AUUGAACGCUGGCGGCAGGCCUAACACAUGCAAGUCGAACGAGUGGCGGACGGGUGAGUAAUGUCUGGGAAACUGCCCGAUGGAGGGGGAUAACUACUGGAAACGGUAGCUAAUACCGCAUACCAUCGGAUGUGCCCAAAUGGGAUUGGCUAGUAGGUGGGGUAAGGGCUCACCUGGGCGACGAUCCCUCGCGGGUCUGAGAGGAUGACCGGCCACACUGGAACUGGAAAAGGGUCCAGACUCCUACGGGAGGGAGCGGGGGGGAAUAUGGAACAAUGGGGGAAAGCCUGAUGCAGCCAUGCGGGGUGUAUGAGGAAGGCCUUCGGGUUGUAAGGUACUUUCAGCGGGGAGGCGUUACCAGCAGAAGAAGCACCGGCUAACUCCGUGCCAGCAGCCGCGGUAAAC
rnacentral:rRNA from 1 species